CAUUUGGACGCUUUUCUGAUUUCCAUUCAAAGAAGAGUUGAUCUCGAAGAAGAUUCUUUGGUGGUGUCGGUGGUCUUAACAGUUUUUUCAUAAACUGCGCUGUAGAAAUGUCCAAAUAUUGCAUAUGGAAUGUUUCUUGUAACGUUUACGUCAAACUUCCGUCAAUUGUCACCGAAUAAAAACAAAAAAGAGGCAUUUUCAAUUCUAUAUUUCGAAGCUGAUUAAGAACAAGAUGUCGGCAUGGAUGAGGUGAGGCCAACCCUCCAAAAGUAUAGAUAGUACCGAUUUGUCUCAGUUGUGCACCAGUUAACCGUGCAAUGAAACUACAAACACCUUUAAGAAAGUUAUUUUGAUUAGCAAUAUAAUGACACCAAUAUGGUUUUCCUCUAGUCUAACUUUUUUCCUCAGUUUAACAGUGAAAGAUGAAUCCGAUAACUACGGAUUGGUAAUCGUCCCAAAAAUUUUAUAAAUGUCGCAAAAGUACCAAAAUCUCUAACACCGUGUGUUCAUUAGGACAGCUAACGUACAAGAAAAUGAGUUUCCGAAAACUCGUUUCUAAAAUAUAAUACGGAAAAACAAAAAUGAAAACAAGUAAUCGCGCCAUCACGUAGGGAAUAGGAAAAGUAAGGAUUAAGGAAGAGGAAUCUCGAAUUCAGCUGCCAAAAA